UACAGAGACGGCAAGCGUUGCUCGGAUUCAUUGGGCGUAAAGGGUGCGUAGGCGGUUGGCUAAGUCGGAUGUGAAAUUUCGUGGCCUAACCACGAACGGUCAUUCGAAACUAGCCGGCUUGAGGGCUGGAGAGGAGACUGGAAUGGUCGGUGUAGCGGUGAAAUGCGUAGAGAUCGACCAGAACACCGGUGGCGAAGGCGGGUCUCUGGACAGUUCCUGACGCUGAGGCACGAAAGCCAGGGGAGCAAACGGG
rnacentral:rRNA from 1 species